rnacentral:rRNA from 1 species
GACGAAGGGGGCUAGCGUUGUUCGGAAUUACUGGGCGUAAAGCGAGUGUAGGUGGUUGUCCAAGUUGGAUGUGAAAGCCUUGAGCUCAACUCAAGAAAUGCAUUCAGGACUGGGCGGCUAGAGGACCGGAGAGGAUAGUGGAAUUCCCAGUGUAGUGGUGAAAUACGUAGAGAUUGGGAAGAACACCAGUGGCGAAGGCGGCUAUCUGGACGGUUCUGACACUAAGACUCGAAAGCGUGGGGAGCAAACAGG